rnacentral:misc_RNA from 1 species
GAUGCUCUCAUGAUCAGUUUUGAUGAAAAAAGUGCCUUGCUCUAGAUAAUGUAUCUAUUUAGAGACGGCAAAGGUAAUAGCCAGCAGUUCUUUCUCAUAAACUGAAAGUGCUUGAGUUCUUGGCCCAAAAGGUUUAGAAAUAUAAGCUAUAGGAUGACCCCCCCUUGCUGUAAGACAGCUCCCAUGCCCUUGUCACUUGCAUCUGUUUCAACCCCAAAGGGUUGGGAGAAAUCUGGCAAACCCAAAACAGGGGCAGAAACCAUAGCUUCCUUAAGUUGCUCAAAGGCCUGCUGACUUGCAUUAGUCCAAACAAACCCAUCCUUCUUCAGCAAAUCAAUAAGAGGUUUGCUAAUUAGCCCAUAAUGCCUUACAAAUUUCUUGUAAUAUCCGGUAAGACCAAGAAAGCUCCUUAAUUCCUUCACAUUUUUAGGAGUAGGCCAUGAAACCAUGGAUUGAAUUUUUGCUGGAUCAGUGAAAACUCCCUCAGCAGAAAUUAUGUGGCCCAAAUAAUCAAUAGAAGCCUGCCCAAAAGAGCAUUUAGAGAGCUUAGCAUAUAGGUGCUGCUCUUGAAGCACUUUAAAGACUUCUUCCAAAUGAGCAAGAUGUUUCUCCAUAGUGUUGCUGUAGAUCAAAAUGUCAUCAAAAAAAACAAGCACAAAUCUUUUUAAAUAAGGCUAGAAGAUAUGAUUCAUUAGCGCUUGGAAAGUGGCUGGGGCAUUGGUUAAGCCAAAGGGCAUGACCUUAAACUCAAAAUGGCCAUGGUGAUUUCUAAAUGCAGUCUUAUGUACGUUAACAGGUUCCAUUCUGAUUUGAUGAUACCCUGCUCU